CAGUAGCCGCGGUAAGACGAACCGUGCAAACGUUACUCGGAAUCACUGGGCUUAAAGCGCACGUAGGCGGCGACAUAAGUUAGAGGUGAAAUCCCAUCGGCUCAACCGUGGAACUGCCUCUAAUACUGUGUUGCUUGAGGGAGGACGGGGCAUUCGGAACUUCCGGUGGAGCGGUGAAAUGUGUUGAUAUCGGAAGGAACGCCGGUGGCGAAAGCACUCUGCUGGGCCGACACUGACACUGAGAGACGAAAGCUAGGGGAGCAAAUGGGAUUAGAUACCCCUGUAGUCCCUGUCUCUUAUA
rnacentral:rRNA from 1 species